CAGUCGAACGGGAAAUAUUUCAUUGAGACUUCGGUGGAUUUGAUCUAUUUCCAUUGGCGGACGGGUGAGUAACGCGUGGGUAACCUGCCUUAUACAGGGGGAUAACAGUCAGAAAUGGCUGCUAAUACCGCAUAAGCGCACAGAGCUGCAUGGCUCAGUGUGAAAAACUCCGGUGGUAUAAGAUGGACCCGCGUUGGAUUAGCUAGUUGGUGGGGUAACGGCCCACCAAGGCGACGAUCCAUAGCCGGCCUGAGAGGGUGAACGGCCACAUUGGGACUGAGACACGGCCCAGACUCCUACGGGAGGCAGCAGUGGGGAAUAUUGCACAAUGGGGGAAACCCUGAUGCAGCGACGCCGCGUGAAGGAAGAAGUAUCUCGGUAUGUAAACUUCUAUCAGCAGGGAAGAUAGUGACGGUACCUGACUAAGAAGCCCCGGCUAACUACGUGCCAGCAGCCGCGGUAAUACGUAGGGGGCAAGCGUUAUCCGGAUUUACUGGGUGUAAAGGGAGCGUAGACGGUGUGGCAAGUCUGAUGUGAAAGGCAUGGGCUCAACCUGUGGACUGCAUUGGAAACUGUCAUACUUGAGUGCCGGAGGGGUAAGCGGAAUUCCUAGUGUAGCGGUGAAAUGCGUAGAUAUUAGGAGGAACACCAGUGGCGAAGGCGGCUUACUGGACGGUAACUGACGUUGAGGCUCGAAAGCGU
rnacentral:rRNA from 1 species